AGGGAGCGUUUAGCAGGGCCUGACUCGCCUCGCUACUAGCACUACUAAUACUGGGCUGGCUGUCCCUCACGCCUUGACGCACGACUCGCCCGGCGUCAUUCACUACUUGGGCCUUCACUCGUGUUCUGAGAGGAGAAGCGCAUUUGAGGAAUUUCAACGAUGCUUCAUAUUCGCCAGCAACCACCUUCUCCUCACAUAGAAAAAGAGUUAUGAGCGAGCUUGGAAUGGACUGGAUGGGGAAGGUGAGCUGCGGGCAAUGAAACAAUCAGUUAUGUAUUGAGCCGCGGCUACUUCAAUACGUGUGCUAUGGAUCCAGACUCCCAGCGGCGUAAGUCUACGGUGAAGCCUUGCCGCAUUUCAUUACUCUACGGGCCGACUCGCUCUAUUUCAGUGCUGGCUAUUGAAGGAACUGUUAUUAUUUCUUUUAUUUACAUUUUCAUUGUUGCUGUUUUUGUUGUUGUUGUUA